AAUAACGCUGGCGGCGUGCCUAAAACAUGCAAGUCGAACGGGCGUGCCCGGUGGAUGCCGGGAAUUACACGCUAGUGGCAAACGGGUGAGUAACACGUAGCUAACCUGCCCCAAAGUUUGGAAUAAGCCUGCGAAAGCGGGUCUAGUACCGAAUGUGUCUGCGCAACUGCGGUUGCGUAGGUAAAGCAUUUGCGCUUUGGGAGGGGGCUGCGGCCUAUCAGCUUGUUGGCGGGGUAAAAGCCCACCAAGGCUAUGACGGGUAGCCGGCCCGAGAGGGUGUCCGGCCACAGGGCCAAUGAGAUACGAGGCCCACUCCUACGGGAGGCAGCAGUUGGGAAUCGUUCGCAAUGGACGAAAGUCUGACGACGCGACGCCGCGUGCGGGAUGAAGCCCUUCGGGGUGUAAACCGCUUUUCUGCAGGAAAAAGAUCUGAUUGUACUGCAGGAAUAAGAGGUUGCUAACUCUGU
rnacentral:rRNA from 1 species